GCCCGGUUAGCUCAAUCGGUAGAGCGUGAGACUCUUAAUCUCAAGGUUGCGGGUAAGAUACCUAUGCCAACAAUCAAUCACUACAGUAUCAGGUCACGUGCUAAUCACCUGAUUUAAUAUAGGUUCGACCCCCGCAUCGGGCU